UACGUAGGCGGAAUAUUAAGUCAGUGGUGAAAUCCUGCGGCUCAACCGUAGAACUGCCAUUGAUACUGAUACUCUUGAAUGUAGUUGAGGUAGGCGGAAUGUGUAAUGUAGCGGUGAAAUGCUUAGAUAUUACACAGAACACCGAUUGCGAAGGCAGCUUACUAAACUAUGAUUGACGCUGAUGUACGAAAGCGUGGGGAGCGAACAGGAUUAGAUACCCUGGUAGUCC
rnacentral:rRNA from 1 species